rnacentral:rRNA from 1 species
GACGAACCGUGCGAACGUUGUUCGGAUUCACUGGGCUUAAAGGGCGCGUAGGCGGACAAUCAAGUCGAGGGUGAAAUCUUUCAGCUUAACUGGAAACGUGCCUUCGAUACUGGUUGUCUCGAGGGAGGUAGGGGCAUGCGGAACUUCCGGUGGAGCGGUGAAAUGCGUAGAUAUCGGAAGGAACGCCGGUGGCGAAAGCGGCGUGCUGGACCUCUUCUGACGCUGAGGCGCGGAAGCUAGGGGAGCGAACGGG